rnacentral:rRNA from 1 species
GAUGAACGCUGGCGGCGUGCUUAACACAUGCCAGUCGAACGAAGCACCUCUCCCGAAGCUUGACACAGCUUGCUGUAGAUUGAUUCAUUUGAGGUGACUGAGUGGCGGACGGGUGAGUAACGCGUGGGUGACCUGCCUCAUAGAGGGGGACAACAGUUGGAAACGACUGCUAUUACCGCAUAGUAAGAAGAAUUCGCAUGUUUUCUUCUUGAAAGAUUUAUCGCUAUGAGAUGGACCCGCGUCUGAUUAGCUAGUUGGUAAGGUAACGGCUUACCAAGGCGACGAUCAGGAGCCGGCUUGAGAGAGUGAACGGCCACAUUGGGACUGAGACACGGCCCAAACUCCUACGGGAGGCAGCAGUGGGGAAUAUUGCACAAUGGGGGAAACCCUGAUGCAGCGACGCCGCGUGAAUGAAGAAGUAUUUCGGUAUGUAAAGCUCUAUCAGCAGGGAAGAUAAUGACGGUACCUGACUAAGAAGCCCCGGCUAACUACGUG